UCACCUGUUGCUCCAUGAUUGGCUGACACUCUGAGGAGCACGGCUGCAGCAGGUUCCACUGAUGAGCACCAGGGGUUUAUUAGACGGCACUGAAGAACAGGACCUCGCCGGAGCAACACAUAUCUAUGGUAUUUGUGCCUGGCCUGCUUAACCUGUGAAUCCUCUGAGAUUACUUACUUGUGUUUUUCUAUGUUUAGUGAACUCGUUCUUGGUCCUGUGAACCCGUCUGGAAGAUCUACUCCCUCUGCUCAUCUGCCUGUCUGCCUCCAACUAAAAAGGAAAAUACUCACCUGCCUUAACUCACCUGCUUCUCCUCCUCRCACCUGCAAACCAGAAAUUACCGGACUUACCUUUGUGGAUCCUCGUCUUCUCCUCCAAGUUGCUCUCCCACUUUCCUCCCCUGUCCCAACCCGUCCCAUCCUGUGCACUGUAAAUAAAAACACUUAUUGUUUA